AAGACUAUACUUUCAGGGAUCAUUUCUAUGGUUCGUUACUAGUGAAGUUUCUCUGAAUGUGCAGAGCACCCGAAACCACAAGGAGGAGGUGCAGCGUCCUCUCUUGAGCGUGAAGCCAGCUCUUCGUGUUGCUUCUGCAACUGCCACUUCCCGUUGACGAUUGUUCCUCCCUCUCUUGGGAAGGGAGAGGGAAAGGACGCAUUCUGAGUAA
ensembl:snoRNA U3 Small nucleolar RNA U3